UACGUAGGGUGCGAGCGUUAAUCGGAAUUACUGGGCGUAAAGCGUGCGCAGGCGGUUUUGCAAGCCGGAUGUGAAAUCCCCGGGCUCAACCUGGGAAUGGCAUUCGGGACUGCAGGGCUGGAGUGCGGCAGAGGAGACUGGAAUUCCUGGUGUAGCAGUGAAAUGCGUAGAUAUCAGGAGGAAUACCGAUGGCGAAGGCAGGUCUCUGGGCUGACACUGACGCUCAUGCACGAAAGCGUGGGAGCAAACAGG
rnacentral:rRNA from 1 species